rnacentral:piRNA from 1 species
UACCAUGGAUCUGUGUGACUACAACUGC